CUUCAGGGCAGGGUGAAAUUCCCGACCGGCGGUAAAGUCCGCGAGCGCUUGCGCAUGAAUAGGUGAAAUUCCUAUACCGAUAGUAUAGUCUAGAUGGAAGAAGAA
rnacentral:ncRNA from 1 species